GAUGAACGCUGGCGGCGUGCCUAAUACAUGCAAGUCGAGCGAACAGACGAGGAGCUUGCUCCUCUGACGUUAGCGGCGGACGGGUGAGUCACACGUGGAUAACCUACCUAUAAGACUGGGAUAAUUUCGGGAAACCGGAGAUAAUCCCGGAUAAUCUAUUGAAGCGCAUGGUUCAAUAGUGAAAGACGGUUUUGCUGUCACUUAUCGAUGGAUCCGCGCCGCAUUAGGUAGUUGGUACGUACAAGGGCUACCAAGGCAACGAUGCGUAGCCGACCGGAGAGGGGGAUCGGCCACACUGGAACUGAGACACGGACCAUACUCCUACGAGAGGCAGCAGUAUGGAAUCUUCCGCAAUGGGCGAAAGCAUGACGGAGCAACGCCGAGUGAGUGAUGAAGGCCUUCGGAUCGUAAAACUGUGUUUUUAGGGAAGAACAAAUGUGGAAGUAACUAUGCACGUAUUGACGGUACCUAAUCAGAAAGCCACGGCUAACUACGUG
rnacentral:rRNA from 1 species